ensembl:snRNA U1 U1 spliceosomal RNA
AUACUCACCUGGCAGGGGAGAGACCAUGAUAACAAAGGUGGUUUUCCCAGGGUGAGGCUUAUUAUCCAUUGCACUCCGGAUGUGCUGACCACUGCGAUUUCCCCAAAAGCAGGAAACACGACUGCAUAAUUUGUGGUAGUGGGGACUGCAUUCAUGGUCUCCUCU